UCUUUUUUCAUUUGGCAGUCAACUGGACAACAACCACUUUGAUGGGGCUACAAUACCAGAUUCUUAUGGCAACAUGUCUCCAUUGUUGAAGUUGAGUCUUAGGAACUGUAGCUUGCAAGGACAAAUCCCUGACCUGAGCAGGAUACCACACCUUGCUUAUAUACAUGCAGGAUCUCAAAGGUUUUGCUAAAAGUCAAGGUGCUGUGUAGAAUCUAAAGAAUUGACCCACUGGGACAUUAAUUUCUGGAGUGAGAGACUUCGAGAGUCAAGUUAUAACUUAAAUGAGGUUGCAUUUCACUUGUUCAGAGGAGUGUUUGCAACUACUAAAGCUCAUUGCAUUUUGGUGGCAGGUCCUUGUCUUCGGGGGAAUAAUCUAACACAAAGAUGAUGCAGAGAGUCUUAAAAAUGCCUUGGCUCAUAUGCCUACCUUAAAAAUUCUGGAUGUAAGUGACAAUCCUCUUCAGGACGAUGGAAUCAAGUUAGUUUGAUUUUUUUUAAUGAAAAUAGUGAUAUGUUCUUUUUUGUUGUUGAGUUGGGACAAGGUUUUGUCCAGUUCAGUCAGUCUUACAACUUGUUCUAGACUUUUCAGGAGUUUAAUCCCCUACUUUGUUGUGAUGUCUGAAAGGGACUCUCACUUUGCUGAUUUGAAAGUGGAAAAUUGCGAGCCUUCAUGUAAUGGAGUGAGUCAACUUGUAGGUGUUCUUUCAACUUUAAAGAGGCCACUGGACUCUCUAUCUAUUGGAGAAAAUGGCCUUGGCAGG